rnacentral:rRNA from 1 species
GUCUCCGUUGGUGAACCAGCGGAGGGAUCAUUACCGAGUUUACAACUCCCAAACCCCUGUGAACAUACCACUUGUUGCCUCGGCGGAUCAGCCCGCUCCCGGUAAAACGGGACGGCCCGCCAGAGGACCCCUAAACUCUGUUUCUAUAUGUAACUUCUGAGUAAAACCAUAAAUAAAUCAAAACUUUCAACAACGGAUCUCUUGGUUCUGGCAUCGAUGAAGAACGCAGCAAAAUGCGAUAAGUAAUGUGAAUUGCAGAAUUCAGUGAAUCAUCGAAUCUUUGAACGCACAUUGCGCCUGCCAGUAUUCUGGCGGGCAUGCCUGUUCGAGCGUCAUUUCAACCCUCAAGCACAGCUUGGUGUUGGGACUCGCGUUAAUUCGCGUUCCCCAAAUUGAUUGGCGGUCACGUCGAGCUUCCAUAGCGUAGUAGUAAAACCCUCGUUACUGGUAAUCGUCGCGGCCACGCCGUUAAACCCCAACUUCUGAAUGUUGACCUCGGAUCAGGUAGGAAUACCCGCUGAACUUAA